UACGGGAGGCAGCAGUGGGGAAUAUUGCACAAUGGGCGCAAGCCUGAUGCAGCCAUGCCGCGUGUGUGAAGAAGGCCUUCGGGUUGUAAAGCACUUUCAGUCGUGAGGAAGGUAGUGUAGUUAAUAGCUGCAUUAUUUGACGUUAGCGACAGAAGAAGCACCGGCUAACUCCGUGCCAGCAGCCGCGGUAAUACGGAGGGUGCGAGCGUUAAUCGGAAUUACUGGGCGUAAAGCGCAUGCAGGUGGUUUGUUAAGUCAGAUGUGAAAGCCCGGGGCUCAACCUCGGAAUUGCAUUUGAAACUGGCAGGCUAGAGUCUUGUAGAGGGGGUAGAAUUUCAGGUGUAGCGGUGAAAAUGCGUAGAGAUCUGAAGGAAUACCAGUGGCGAAGGCGGCCCCCUGGACAAAGACUGACGCUCAGAUGCGAAAAGCGUGGGGAGCAAACAGGAUUAGAUACCCUGGUAG
rnacentral:rRNA from 1 species